UGAUUUUAAAGUGUUGUUUAUUUUAAUUGUGAAGUACUUAAUAAAAUGUUUAAAGAAUAGUGUUUUCUAGUACCUUUUGUAUAAGGGUUUUUCUAGAAUAGUGUAUUUAUUUUUAAUCUCGAAAGAAAAAAUGCUAUCGCAGUAAGUUGUUGUAACGUUUUAUAGUCACAAAAAAUUUUGCGAUAAUAGCUAGAUACUAUGUGCUUUUUCUUAUAUCUAGUUGGCUUAAAAAUGUAUUUAGUACUGUUGUUAAAUUUUAAUAGCGCAAAGCUAUUGGGUUAAGCUGAUUGCUUAGUUAGUAAUGAUCUGUUGUGUUUUAUUUUCGUUUUAGUAGCCUUUAUAUUAGGAAUCUAAGUACCUUGUUAUAAAUAUUUUGUGUUAAUUUUUUUUAAUUCUUUAUUUGAUUCAUUUUAAUAUUAUAAGCCUAUUCUUUUUAUAGAAGUAAUUAUGAUAAAAAUAAGUAGAUAUAUAGAUUUAUAUAGUAUUGUUUAGGUAAAAUAUUGGUAGUUUAAAAAUUUUGUUUUAUUUUUGUUCAAUGAAUUCGGCAAAUUUUGUAUUUAUGACUGUUUAUCAAAAACAUUUCUUUUUGUAGUUAUUAAAAGUAUGCUCUGCUCGGUGGUAGUUUAACAGCGGCCUUAACUUGAGGGUCCAAAGGUAGCAUAAUAAUUCGAUUCUUAAUUGGAGUCUAGUAUGAAGGGGUGUACAUUAUAUACGCUGUCUCGUAUGAAUAAAUUGAAAUUAGUUUUAAGGUGAGGAAACCUUAAUAUUUUAGAAAGACGACAAGACCCUAGAAGCUUAAAUUUAUCUUAGAAGAAGGCUUUUAAAGAAAAUUUUUGUUGGGGCAACAAAAUAAAAGUGUAUUAUUUUUUAUGUUGUACUGACUGGUGUUAACUUUUAUUGUGAGGUUGGUAAGUUACUCUAGGGAUAACAGCGCAAUCCUUUUUGAUAGUUGGUAUUGACUAAAGGGUUUGCGACCUCGAUGUUGGCUUUAGGUAGCGUAAAAGUGUAGAAGCAUUUAUUAGUGGAUCUGUUCGAUCUUUAAAUCCUAACAUGAGCUGAGUUCAGACCGGUGUGAGCUAGGUCAGUUUCUAUCUUCUGAAUUAAAUUAAAAUUGGUUGAUUUGGUACGAAAGGAUUUAUUCAACUGGAAUUAUUCUUUUUAAAACAUAAUUUUUAAGAA
rnacentral:rRNA from 1 species